GAUGAAGAACGUAGCGAAAUGCGAUAAGUAGUGUGAAUUGCAGAAUUCAGUGAAUCAUCGAAUCUUUGAACGCACAUUGCGCCCCUUGGUAUUCCAUGGGGCAUGCCUGUUCGAGCGUCAUUUGUACCUUCAAGCUCUGCUUGGUGUUGGGUGUUUGUCUCGCCUCUGCGCGUAGACUCGCCUCAAAACAAUUGGCAGCCGGCGUAUUGAUUUCGGAGCGCAGUACAUCUCGCGCUUUGCACUCAUAACGACGACGUCCAAAAGUACAUUUUUGCACUCUUGACCUCGGAUCAGGUAGGGAUACCCGCUGAACUUAAGCAUAUCAAUAAGCGGAGGA
rnacentral:misc_RNA from 1 species